UUUCCGUAGGUGAACCUGCGGAAGGAUCAUUAAUGGGAAAUCAAAUCAAAUCAAAACAAAUGUUCUGUUGCACUGGGUGUGCUGUGUGGUGGUGUGAGACAUGGAGAUUCAAUCAUUGGAGAUUCAAUCAUUGGAGAUUCAAUCAUUGGAGAUUCAAUCAUUGGAAUUUCAAUCAUUGGAGAUUCAAUCAUUCAAUCUCAAUCAUCGCCACACAACACAACUAUCUAUCACACUCGAUCAACAACAACACACUCACACACAACAGCAAACAACUUUUAACAAUGGAUCUCUUGGCUCUU
rnacentral:misc_RNA from 1 species